UUCAAUGUCUUUGGUAUUACGGCCUGGCGUUUAACAUUUCUGCCAGCAGUGCUGGAUUGCAGGAGUUAAAACAGUGUUUCGCUUGAUUUCGGCAGUACUUCGAGCCCCUGGUAGUGAAGAGCUAUCAUGGCAAUAUCCUAAACUGCAUUUGCUUUGAACGCUGGUGAUCAGGCAGGAAGUACUUAGUGAGAAUCUACCAAGUGCCAAAUUCCAGGUAUCACACAACCUAACUCAUCCAAUGACUUCCAAAUAAAUACUCCCUUAUUCCUUUUUAAGGACUUCUGCAUAAGACACUGACAUCAUCGUAUUUGUACUGCAACAUCAAGAGGCAUUUCUGCUAAAUAAAGCAGGUGCUCUGCAAAGACAA